rnacentral:lncRNA from 1 species
CGGAGUUGAACAAUUUGGUCUCUUAGAUAAAAAUAUUUGAUCAUCAACUGAUGGAGAGAAAAUUUGGAGAUGUAGAAUUCACCAUUUAAAAGGUUUGAUAUGAUAGAAGAGUUGGAGAAAGCGUCGAGAUUGUUGAAAACUUGGCUAGCAUAGAAGAAAACACCUAUCUCAUUGCUGCUUGUGAAAGGUUUGACGUCAAUUGCGC